rnacentral:rRNA from 1 species
CAAGUCGAACGGCAGCACGGGUGCAACCCUGGUGACGAGUGGCGAACGGGUGAGUAAUGUAUCGGAACGUACCCAGUCGUGGGGGAUAACUAUCCGAAAGCAUAGCUAAUACCGCAUACGUCCUGAGGAGAAAGCGGGGGAUCGCAAGACCUCGCGCGAUUGGAGCGGCCGAUAUCGGAUUAGCUAGUUGGUGAGGUAAAGGCUCACCAAGGCGACGAUCCGUAGCGGGUCUGAGAGGACGACCCGCCACACUGGAACUGAGACACGGUCCAGACUCCUACGGGAGGCAGCAGUGGGGAAUUUUGGACAAUGGGGGAAACCCUGAUCCAGCCAUUCCGCGUGAGUGAAGAAGGCCUUCGGGUUGUAAAGCUCUUUCAUCAGGAACGAAACGGCAGACUUUAAUAAAGUCGGCU